CCCUAGUAGAGGCCCCGCCCCUCACGGGCCUAGGUUGUAGGGGUUUGCAGUCUUGGGGCCACUGUUCAAGAGGCCUUCGCUGGUCGGGUGGGUGUCGCCAGGAGGAUGCAGCUUUGCGCCAAAGUCAGGGAGGGCGCCCAAAGCCGCGAACCAGGUUCAGCGCCCUCCAAAGCCAACUCGGUCCUAUUCAAACUUCGCGCGCCCAUUGGACCAGCCCCCUGGGGCGGGGCAUACGUAGGCCACCUGAGUGGCGGCUCUUGGCUCCAGUGAAUGGCCUGCUUCGUGCUAGCUCUGCCCCCACCCCCCAGGAGGGAGGAACGGCACAGAUAAAGAAAACAGAGCCUCCAAGAGGUGAUGCAGCCGGCCCAGUCACACAGCCAUCAGUAGUCGAGCAGGAUUUGAACCCACAUCUUCUUGACUCUAGAGGCCAGGCUCUGAACCACUGUGUUACAGUCACCCCAUUCUGGGGCCUCUGCUCUCGACCCCAGCUGCCAUCCUGACUCAGCAACUGUGGGUGGCCUUGCUCCGGUGCAUGGGCAGCAGAGCCAGUGAGAAGCCUCCCAGUUCCUUGAAAACCAAAUAUGGCCAGACCAGGCCCUCAGAGGCCCGACUCCAAGGCUGGUCUUGCUCUUGCCUGCUCCUCUGUGCUGUGGGGCCUUACUCCCUGUGCAACCUCCUGGCUCUGCCCCAGGGGACUCUGGGAGAGCCUCCAUCCAGAGGCCCCUCCUCAUAGGAUCUUGUUGAGCAAGUUACUGAAGGAGAACACGUGAGACCAGUAUCUCUUCCGUGCUGCAGUAAUUCCCAACUCCACGCCUUUGCUCAUGCAGUCCCCUCCAUCUGGACUUCCUCUCCCUCUCUAACCCGCUCUUAUGCAUUCUUUGGGGCCCAAUGUGAGCUAUCAGGAAGGGUUACCUCCUGACUGUAUGACCUGGAGUAAAUCUCUCCUAUCCGUCUGUCUGUCGGUCCGUCCAUCCACCCAUCCUUCCAUCCAGUGGGCACCUACCUGUGCCAGGCAUUUUACAUAUAGUCUCUCCUUUCAGACUAGAAGCUCCUUGAAGAUUGCAGACCAAGUGUAGAAGAUAAUUGUUCAACUAAUAUCCAUGGGCCAAGUCCUGUCCUUACUACAGUCCUGGCGAGGCUCUUAUCAUUAUCACCCCCUUUUCACAGUUGGGAAGACUGUACUCAGACAGGGGAAGUACAAGGGACUCAGCAGAGAUGAGUGGAGCUGAGACUUGAACCCUGAUCUGUUGGACUCUGGAGGCCAAGUUCCUAACCACUAGGCAGUACUGCCCAACUCCUAAUGGAGAGAGUUGGUGGUG